GUCGAGUGUCGACGGAACUCAGGACGGACCCGCCGCCCUUCGUUCCGUACUUAAAAUCCUCUUCCCGCAAGGGAGUACAGGUUCGAGUCCUGUCCUCGGCACCA
rnacentral:tRNA from 1 species